GACAGAGGGUGCAAACGUUGCUCGGAAUCACUGGGCGUAAAGGGCGCGUAGGCGGGAUGGCAAGUCGGUCGUGAAAUCCUUCGGCUCAACCGAAGAACGUCGGCCGAUACUGCCGUUCUUGAGGGAUGCAGAGGAGAUUGGAAUUCCCGGUGUAGCGGUGAAAUGUGUAGAGAUCGGGAGGAACACCGGUGGCGAAGGCGGGUCUCUGGGCAUCUCCUGACGCUGAGGCGCGAAAGCGUGGGGAGCAAACGGG
rnacentral:rRNA from 1 species